UGCAAUUUGAAUUUUUUUUUUUUAAAAAAAGACUUUCGGAUUAUAUAAUUCAAAAGUAAUUUUUUUUCUUUUUGAUUAUGCAAUCCAAAAAGUGUUUAUGAGAAAAAAUAAUUUUAAUUACGCAAUUUGAAUUUUUAUUUUAUUUUUACAUUAUAUAAUUCGAAAGUCAAAAAAUAUUUUUGAAUCAUACUAUUUAAGAGUAAAUUGAAAAUCUUAUUAUAUGAGAGUACAGGAAGAAACUGCCCACAGGCAAUUGGUAACACGAAGGACUAGUUGAAGAUGUUGCGUUCUUCAAGCCCAAUAUGCUGUCUUAUUGGGUCCCGAAAUCAGCUCUGCACGGCCCUUUCAAUUUUUGUAUUUCAUGCGUUAAGCGAUAAAAACAAAGGAAUUGCUUUCUGCACCCUAUUAUUUUUCUUUCUGCACCAUCACAUUUCCUGAAUUUGUUUUUUGAACCACAGAAACAGUUCCAGAAAAUACUUUUGGGGCAGAAACCAACCCUUCCUAUUACGGUAAAAAAAGAAAAAAUAUUCGAGUAACUUGUUUCGAUGGGGUGGAUGAAGAAAUGCAGUGAUAUCAAAUAGUCAUGUAGUUGUUAUCAUUCAACAUAUUAUUGCAUCUAUUUGAGAAGUCAUAUAUGUUUUUAAUAUACUUAUAAAUUUAUCUUCAUUUUUUUUAAUCUCUUAAACAAAAGUUAUGUUGAAUUAUAAUCAUGUGAAGGAGGUUGCUAAACAAAUCUCGACAAUUUAAUGUGUUCUUUACUGUGUUCGUAAAAAGAAUUCAAUUACCUUCAAUAAAGUAUAAGCCGUAAUUAUUGUUGAAAAGUAUUGAAUAAAAACAACUAGAACUUCAGGCAUUAACACAUAUUAAAGCGUUUUUCAAUCGUCUAAAAGAUAUAAAAAUUAUCCAUGGUUCAAAAAAGCAAUGAAUAAAAGGAACAAUCUGCAUAAGAAAUCCAUUUAAAAAAAAUAAUAUUUAAGCCUUCGAUUAAAAAAGGAAAGAGAGAAGAAAAAAAAAGAAAAGGAGGAUUUUUAAAGAAGAUGAAAAAAUAUUUUACUUAUUUUGUUAGUACUUUAUUUAAUACGACUCUUAAUAAAUCAUUCUAAUUAUUACAUAUUCAUGAUUUAAUUCCAUAAAAAUGAAAUAGGUUGCCUUUACUUAACAUAUUUUUCAACUUAAGUUUUUCAAAGGUAGUUUGCAUUGGAUUUUUGUAAUGUAAUUUUUUUCAACUUAAGUUUCAAAGACUCCAUGGACCUUUUUUGAUGAAGCUUCUUUUACCAAAAGUUGAAGCUUUGGAUUGUUGAAGAUAUACAGAAACUAAUCCCACCAACACGUCUAACAAAGCUUUUAUUUUAACCUAAAAAGAAAGCAGAAAGAGAAGGAAUUGAGAGAGAAAAAGACUGACCUUGUGAAGGAAAUGAAGAGAAAAUGAAAAGCUUGAAGAAGUAAGAAGCUUUAAGUUGAAGUUCAUUAGAUGGAGUUAACUUGAAGAAAAGUGGUGGCUAUGAUGAGAGUGUAAAACAAAGGAUACAUUCUCAUUGUUGUUGUGUAUGUGGGUGUUAACAUGAUUU
rnacentral:lncRNA from 1 species